GAGAGAAAAUAAAUGGAACUCUUGGUGCUGCUGCAGGCCCAAGUCCAGCUCGAGAGAGGCUAUAUUCAUCUGUGGUAAUUACUGCUGUGUUUCCUGAACAUGCCUAUAAAACAUACUGAAGAAGGGUGCCUGAAAUUUGGCCUCUCACUGUUGUGGCCUCUCCCACUGCGGAGCACAGGCUCCGGACGCUCAGUCUCAGCAGCCAUGGCUCACGGGCCCAGCAGCUCCGCGGCAUGUGUGAUCUUCCCGGACCGGGGCACAAACCUACGUCCCCUGCAUCGGCAGGCUGACUCUCAACAACUGCACCACCAGGGAAGCCCCCCAUUCAUUGUUUUUAAUUGCAAACAGAUAAUAAGCAAAGUGAAAGGAACUUCUUCCACCAAAGUAAAGGCCAAAGUUCAAAAAGUCAAAUUAAUAUGGGGUUUGUUACUAUUCUAAAUAGUAAAGAACAAUGGCAAGAAAUGUCACAGUGUUGGUUGCUAUUAACAUCUUUUCGUUUUCCAUUACAGUUGUUUAUAUUAUCUUCAUGGGAUAUCACUGAAGUUAUCAAGUUAUCUUAAUAGUCAAAUUAAAAAACAAAAUCCCUUGAAAUGCCAAUACAAAGAAAAAUGAGUCAGAACAUGAAAAAAUGUUUUAGACAAGUUGACAGCAUGUAUUCUUUGUUCAUAUCUCUUUUUCAGAGAAGUUCCAUCUUAUUCACACCCAUAUGUACAAUAGACUGAAUAAAAUACAACCCCAUCACUCAAUGGUGAUAAAAAAAGGAAAGUCAAGCUGGUUCCAGAAAAUUCCUCUAUUUAUUCCUAGUAUCUGGUUGCAUCUGGCAAAAAAGAGCAUUUUGAAAUAUUCUCUAAAUUUUUGUAUUUUAUUUUAUAAUAAUUUGCUUAUUUAUCUCAAUGUAAAUAUUAA